rnacentral:rRNA from 1 species
UACGGAGGGGGCUAGCGUUGUUCGGAAUUACUGGGCGUAAAGCGCGACGUAGGCGGACCUGCAAGUCGGGGGUGAAAGCCCGAGGCUCAACCUCGGAACUGCCUUCGAUACUGCGGUCUCGAGUCCGGGAGAGGUGAGUGGAAUCCUAGUGGUAGAGGUGAAAUUCGUAGAUAUUAGGGAAGAACACCGGGUGGCGAAGG